UGAGGAAUAUUGGUCAAUGGGCGAGAGCCUGAACCAGCCAAGUAGCGUGCAGGAUGACGGCCCUAUGGGUUGUAAACUGCUUUUAUAUGGGAAUAAAGUGAGGGACGUGUCCCUUAUUGCAUGUACCAUACGAAUAAGGACCGGCUAAUUCCGUGCAGCAGCCGCGGUAAUACGGAAGGUCCAGGCGUUAUCCGGAUUUAUUGGGUUUAAAGGGAGCGUAGGCUGUUUGUUAAGCGUGUUGUGAAAUGUAAGAGCUCAACUUUUAGAUUGCAGCGCGAACUGGCAGACUUGAGUGCGCACAACGUAGGCGGAAUUCAUGGUGUAGCGGUGAAAUGCUUAGAUAUCAUGACGAACUCCGAUUGCGAAGGCAGCUUACGGGAGCGCAACUGACGCUAAAGCUCGAAGGUGCGGGUAUCGAACAGG
rnacentral:rRNA from 1 species